rnacentral:rRNA from 1 species
UACGUAGGGUGCAAGCGUUGUCCGGAAUUAUUGGGCGUAAAGAGCUCGUAGGCGGUCUGUCGCGUCUGCUGUGAAACUCAGGGCUUAACCUGAGCUUGCAGUGGUACGGGCAGACUAGAGUGCGGUAGGGAGACUGGAAUUCCGUGGUGUAGCGGUGAAAUGCGCAGAUACUCAGGAGGAACACCGGUGGCGAAGGCGGGUCUCUGGCCGUAACUGAC